rnacentral:rRNA from 1 species
AUUGAACGCUGGCGGCAUGCCUUACACAUGCAAGUCGAACGGCAGCACGGGAGCAAUCCUGGUGGCGAGUGGCGAACGGGUGAGUAAUAUAUCGGAACGUGCCCAGUCGUGGGGGAUAACGUAGCGAAAGCUACGCUAAUACCGCAUACGAUCUACGGAUGAAAGCGGGGGAUCGCAAGACCUCGCGCGAUUGGAGCGGCCGAUAUCAGAUUAGGUAGUUGGUGAGGUAAAGGCUCACCAAGCCGACGAUCUGUAGCUGGCCUGAGAGGACGACCAGCCACACUGGGACUGAGACACGGCCCAGACUCCUACGGGAGGCAGCAGUGGGGAAUUUUGGACAAUGGGCGCAAGCCUGAUCCAGCAAUGCCGCGUGCAGGAUGAAGGCCUUC